UACGAAGGGGGCUAGCGUUGCUCGGAAUUACUGGGCGUAAAGCGUACGUAGGCGGCUUGUUAAGUCGGGGGUGAAAUCCUGGAGCUCAACUCCAGAACUGCCUUCGAUACUGGCGAGCUCGAGUUCGGGAGAGGUGAGUGGAACUGCGAGUGUAGAGGUGAAAUUCGUAGAUAUUCGCAAGAACACCAGUGGCGAAGGCGGCUCACUGGCCCGAUACUGACGCUGAGGUGCGAAAGCGUGGGGAGCAAACAGG
rnacentral:rRNA from 1 species